AUUGAACGCUGGCGGCAGGCUUAACACAUGCAAGUCGAGCGGAGACGAGGUGCUUGCACCUUAUCUUAGCGGCGGACGGGUGAGUAAUGCUUAGGAAUCUGCCUAUUAGUGGGGGACAACAUUCCGAAAGGAAUGCUAAUACCGCAUACGUCCUACGGGAGAAAGCAGGGGAUCUUCGGACCUUGCGCUAAUAGAUGAGCCUAAGUCGGAUUAGCUAGUUGGUGGGGUAAAGGCCUACCAAGGCGACGAUCUGUAGCGGGUCUGAGAGGAUGAUCCGCCACCCUGGGACUGAGACACGGCCCGGACUCCUACGGGAGGCAGCAGUGGGGAAUAUUGGACAAUGGGGGGAACCCUGAUCCAGCCAUGCCGCGUGUGUGAAGAAGGCCUUAUGGUUGUAAAGCACUUUAAGCGAGGAGGAGGCUACUGAGACUAAUACUCUUGGAUAGUGGACGUUACUCGCAGAAUAAGCACCGGCUAACUCUGUGCCAGCAGCCGCCGUAA
rnacentral:rRNA from 1 species